rnacentral:rRNA from 1 species
CCUACGGGGGGCUGCAGUGGGGAAUUUUCCGCAAUGGGCGCAAGCCUGACGGAGCAAUACCGCGUGAGGGAUGAAGGCCUAUGGGUUGUAAACCUCUUUUUUCAGGGAGGAACAAAAUGACGUGUACCUGAAGAAUAAGCAUCGGCUAACUCCGUGCCAGCAGCCGCGGUAAGACGGGGGAUGCAAGUGUUAUCCGGAAUCACUGGGCGUAAAGCGUCUGUAGGUGGUUAAGUAAGUCAACUUGUUAAAUCUUGAGGCUCAACCUCAAAAUCGCAGUCGAAACUGCUUGACUAGAGUAUAGUAGGGGUAAAGGGAAUUUCCAGUGGAGCGGUGAAAUGCGUAGAUAUUGGAAAGAACACCGAUGGCGAAGGCACUUUACUGGGCUAUUACUAACACUGAGAGACGAAAGCUAGGGUAGCAAAUGGGAUUAGAUACCCAAGUAGUC